GAUUUAUUAAGGAGUGUACGGGGUGGAUUUAUUAAGGAGUGUACGGGGUGGAUUUAUUAAGGAGUGUACGGGGUGGAUUUAUUAAGGAGUGUACGGGGUGGAUUUAUUAAGGAGUGCACGGGGUGGAUUUAUUAAGGAGUGCACGGGGUGGAUUUAUUAAGGAGUGCACGGGGUGGAUUUAUUAAGGAGUGCACGGGGUGGAUUUAUUAAGGAGUGCACGGGGUGGAUUUAUUAAGGAGUGCACGGGGUGGAUUUAUUAAGGAGUGUACGGGGUGGAUUUAUUAAGGAGUGUACGGGGUGGAUUUAUUAAGGAGUGUACGGGGUGGUUGUCUCUAUUCGUCUCUUUACAAAAUCCAGGAAUCAAAAGUUACAAUUGUUCUAGAGUAUGAAAGUCAGAUAUUACCUUUUGGGAUGAUGAUGAUGAGGAUAGUUCAACCUAUCACACGCUGCCUGUCAGUGAUCAGUUGAGUAGAUCUAUCAUGCCUUUCCAUUGUGCGGUGGCAGUGCUACUAGUUUCAGUGCUUCGGGUGGCUGUGUCGUGAGGUGGCAGUGCUACUAGUUUCAGUGCUUCGGGUGGCUGUGUCGUGAGGUGGCAGUGCUACUAGUUUCAGUGCUUCGGGUGGCUGUGUCGUGAGGUGGCAGUGCUACUAGUUUCAGUGCUUCGGGUGGCUGUGUCGUGAGGUGGCAGUGCUACUAGUUUCAGUGCUUCGGGUGGCUGUGUCGUGAGGUGGCAGUGCUACUAGUUUCAGUGCUUCGGGUGGCUGUGUCGUGAGGUGGCAGUGCUACUAGUUUCAGUGCUUCGGGUGGCUGUGUCGUGAGGUGGCAGUGCUACUAGUUUCAGUGCUUCGGGUGGCUGUGUCGUGAGGUGGCAGUGCUACUAGUUUCAGUGCUUCGGGUGGCUGUGUCGUGAGGUGGCAGUGCUACUAGUUUCAGUGCUUCGGGUGGCUGUGUCUAUGCAUCAUCUAAACCCAAAUCUUCCAUCAAGUUCACCCAGGGUGAGGUGUCCUCAAAGCUCUUUUUUUUGUUGUGCUCUUGCGUCACUACUAUGAUAACUUCAAACAAUACGAAGGAUGAUACGGUGUUGCGCUUACUUUUUUUCUUGAUUAUUCAAUGUCAGCAAAGCACAACAGCAACUACAGUGGGACACACUGUUUGUAACCAUCGGAGAACUGAACCUGGCGGUUGCCAAGCAACGGGUCAGCAGUUGUAGCCGCCCGGUGGCCAAUAAAACGGUAUUGGAGCGCAUGACUGUGAGUCCGCCAGCUCAACCUCUCACUGCACCGUACCAAAGGGCAGUGUGUGAUCACUGGGAACUUCAGCAGGCUAGCCAUGGCCGCCUAGCCACAUGAUGCUUUAAAACACACCCGCCCACUCCCAUCACAUGACUCACUGCUAGCAGGUAGACACUCAACGGGACACCUUGAUUUUUCUCAGGGAGGAUUUAUUUUUGAUCACCUUGUUUUACUGGGCCGAGACUCUUUGGAAAUAAUCCCCAGAUCUAAUAAAAAUCCAUUUUUUGUAUUUUUAUUUUGUGUGGAAGGCCAAAAGGGCGUGCGAUUUAGAAUAAGCUAAUGGUUGUUUUUCUGUGUG